UUGAUGAAUAUUGUUUUGUAAAUUACCAACCACAAAUUACGUAUAGACUUAGAGAUUUGCUCUAUGCUUGCUACGUGCCUAGUGGAGGAGGUGUCACGAUCACAUCCAAAUGUCGGUGGGUCGAAUUAAAUAUUACUCGUUUAUGAUAGUGUUUUCUGAUUCUUUACUUGAGCUACCUUAAACACCUUUGCCACCCUUGUACUACUCUCAUCACCCUCAGGCUAUCAAACUACACUAAUGCACCAAAAGAAUCGAAUGAACAUUUGUCACAAAUAUUAUUCAUCUUCAACUUCCAAGUUGGAAUAGUUUCGUGGUGGCCAACUUAAGCAUCCUCCAACCCAUUGUGUCACAUGGACGACCCCCACAUCUGCAAUCACUCACUCUGCAAAGGAGGAGAACCACAUAUCAUUGAGGGAUUGGGAGAAGCAACAAUGGAGGGAGGGAGGGAGGGAGGGAAAAUUAACGGAGGAGGAUGAGGCGAGAGGAGACGAAAGGAGGUGGAAGACAGCGUCGUCUGCGGCGAGGUCUGCUGCGGGAGCUUGGAGGCCACGACGCGUAGAAAGGAGGCGGGAGGUGUGGCAGUCAAGAGGGGCCAAAGGCGGCGCGGUGCUGCCAGCUCCGUUACCUGCCCUGUUGCCUGGACUAGACUGGACUGGGACUCUAGCUAGGCAGCCACAACACCCUCCAGCUUAGCCAGUCCAGCCCAGUCCAGCCCCAGCCCACCCGCGUCCAACAAUCACGCCGCCCGAGAAAGCUUCCAAACAUACAGUCACCCCCCUUCGGUUUUCCUCUGAAUCACUGAUCCGCUUCUAGACCCCUUAUUCUCCUCGCCCCCUCUGCACGUCUGCACACUCACAGGUCCCUACCCACUCUAGUGUUGUAGCCCAUAAAGGUGCCCCUCAUUACUGCAAGUACUUUUUGGCUCCAGGGAUCCUCGUCUUACAGUCUGUUUCGUUGAUUGUUGGGUUGCAGGGUUAGGCAUUCCUUUGUCACCCUACCAAUGCUACUUGGCUCCUUGGAGCUGUGGACUUGUACUCUCAAUCCAUCCAUGUGCACAAGAACUGUAAAAGCUUUGCGUGGGUUUUCGCCCUUUUUUUCUUUCUCGCUCUCUGUGUGUGCGUCUGCUUGCUUGGAAAUUGCUGCCACGGUUGCGGAGAUCUCUGAGCUGUGGGUCAAAACUUCGAGCCUGCCAGCGGCUCGUCCCUCAUCCCGCUUCCACUCCCGUUUAUCAUUCCCCAUCGCCCACGUAACUCCAUCCUCUUUGAAUUAGGAAGCAAUUUUACUACGACACACACGACUUGAUUACAAGGGCUGAGGUGCUGCUGAGGGGCUUGAUCCAGUGUGAGAUAAUUAUGGUGGAAACGGAAAAGCUGGAAGCUAAAAAGAAGAACGGAACAAACAGUUUCCUGUUUACUGUGGUUGACAGGGCACAGGACUGACUGGUACAAUGCUAGUAAGUCAGAAAUGUGGCAAAGCCUCUAUCUGUUGAGAUAGAGUGCACCAACUUUCAACUGCAAAAAACUCUGGAUGUAAUCAUAAUGAGCUAAGGGUUUUUGGCACUUUAGUUCUAUGGCAGUUAUGGCACCAAUGUGACCCAGAAUGAAACUUAGGUGCAUUGGCCUUAGUCUUGCAUCCAUGUUCUCUUCACGUGUUCUAAUUAGCUUUAUGGGAGCAGAUUCCCAUAAGUACCUGCAAACCCUUGUGGGAAUUUUCUAAUCCUG